rnacentral:rRNA from 1 species
CGCUGGCGGCGUGCCUAAUACAUGCAAGUCGAACGCUUCUUUUUCCACCGGAGCUUGCUCCACCGGAAAAAGAGGAGUGGCGAACGGGUGAGUAACACGUGGGUAACCUGCCCAUCAGAAGGGGAUAACACUUGGAAACAGGUGCUAAUACCGUAUAACAAUCGAAACCGCAUGGUUUUGAUUUGAAAGGCGCUUUCGGGUGUCGCUGAUGGAUGGACCCGCGGUGCAUUAGCUAGUUGGUGAGGUAACGGCUCACCAAGGCCACGAUGCAUAGCCGACCUGAGAGGGUGAUCGGCCACAUUGGGACUGAGACACGGCCCAAACUCCUACGGGAGGCAGCAGUAGGGAAUCUUCGGCAAUGGACGAAAGUCUGACCGAGCAACGCCGCGUGAGUGAAGAAGGUUUUCGGAUCGUAAAACUCCUGUUGUUAGAGAAGAACAAGGAUGAGAGUAACUGUUCAUCCCUUGACGGUAUCUAACCAGAAAGCCACGGCUAACUCG